CAUAUACUCCCUCCGUUCGGAAUUACUUGUCUCAAAAAUGGAUGCAUCUAGAACUAAAAUAUGUCUAGAUACAUCCAUUUCUUCGACAAGUAAUUCCGAACGGAGGGAGUACAAU
rnacentral:pre_miRNA from 1 species